GGAAAACUACAAGAUUGUCCCUCAUAUGUAUUCUCCUACUAACCAUGGGCUGGACCACCAAGGACUUCUGUCUCUGCUCAGUCCUCAGCUUUCAAAGACAUCCAUGGAGACACCUUGCCUUCCUGCAGGUUCUGCCACUUAAGCUGAGGUCUUACCCUCAGGUCUUCUUCCCAAUCUAAUGAGCUUGCCACCAGCCACCAGGACAGGCUUGCCACCAGCCACCAGGACAGGGUGAGGAGGACCCCCCAGGCAGGCUCACCAGCAGACGUCUUGGCCACGCAGGCCCCUCCAAUAACACUCCCCCGCCCUGGCCUCUGACCUUUUGGCUGUGCAGCUACUUGGUUAUAUACUGCAGAGGCACAGGGGGACAUAAAAGCCAUUGUCCUGAAUGCCAGAAGUGAACAACAGAGAGAGCACCUGUCUCAAGCUCCCUGAUGAAAACAAGCCCACUGGGAAAGUGAAGGGGAUCUCUGCAAUAAAGGCGCACCAGACCACCAUGAUUGAUGCAUCUCCCUGCAGCAAAUGUGCUUGGAAAUCCAUUCCCACAGAGAGGGCCUGGGUGGAGACUGGAGCACAGCCACAUUG
rnacentral:lncRNA from 1 species